rnacentral:rRNA from 1 species
UACGAAGGGGGCGAGCGUUGUUCGGAUUUACUGGGCGUAAAGGGCGCGUAGGCGGCCCUUCAAGUCAGGCGUGAAAGCCCCGGGCUCAACCUGGGAGGUGCGCUUGGGACUGGAGGGCUGGAGUUCGGGAGAGGAGCGUGGAAUUCCCAGUGUAGAGGUGAAAUUCGUAGAUAUUGGGAAGAACACCGGUGGCGAAGGCGGCAUCCUGGACCGGUAUUGACGCUGAGGCGCGAAAGCUAGGGGAGCAAACGGG